rnacentral:rRNA from 1 species
AUUGAACGCUGGCGGCAUGCUUUACACAUGCAAGUCGGACGAGUGGCGAACGGGUGAGUAAUAUAUCGGAACGUACCGAGUAAUGGGGGAUAACUAAUCGAAAGAUUAGCUAAUACCGCAUAUUAUUCGAGCGGCCGAUAUCUGAUUAGGUAGUUGGUGGGGUAAAGGCCUACCAAGGCGACGAUCAGUAGCGGGUCUGAAAGGAGGAUACGCCACCCGGGGACGGAGACACGGCCCCGCCUCCUACGGGAGGCAGCCGUGGGUAAUUUUGGACAAUGGGCGCAAGCCUGAUCCAGCCAUGCCGCUUGUCUUAAGAAGGCCUUCGGGUUGUAAAGGACUUUUGUCAGGGAAGCGGUACCUGAAGAAUAAGCACCGGCUAACUACGUGCCAGCAGCCGCGGUAAUAC